CAACGGAAAAGUCAGCCACAAAGCUUGAGCAGCACGGCAAAGGUGACAGCUACAAAACGGUACUUCAAAGCACGCUACAAUGGUAGAGGAAACCAAAAUGCUACGUAAUCACAAAGCAAAGCCCCGCUGCAGUCUCUUGCCCAGCACCACACGACAGCGCACCACUAAGGGAAAACUGUGAUCAAAAGGCACUACACAGCGAAACCUCAUUGCAGUCUUUUGCACAACACCAUACGAUGAAAAGUGACGC
rnacentral:lncRNA from 1 species